rnacentral:rRNA from 1 species
GGAUUAAGAGCUUGCUCUUAUGAAGUUAGCGGCGGACGGGUGAGUAACACGUGGGUAACCUGCCCAUAAGACUGGGAUAACUCCGGGAAACCGGGGCUAAUACCGGAUAACAUUUUGAACCGCAUGGUUCGAAAUUGAAAGGCGGCUUCGGCUGUCACUUAUGGAUGGACCCGCGUCGCAUUAGCUAGUUGGUGAGGUAACGGCUCACCAAGGCAACGAUGCGUAGCCGACCUGAGAGGGUGAUCGGCCACACUGGGACUGAGACACGGCCCAGACUCCUACGGGAGGCAGCAGUAGGGAAUCUUCCGCAAUGGACGAAAGUCUGACGGAGCAACGCCGCGUGAGUGAUGAAGGCUUUCGGGUCGUAAAACUCUGUUGUUAGGGAAGAACAAGUGCUAGUUGAAUAAGCUGGCACCUUGACGGUACCUAACCAGAAAGCCACGGCUAACUACGUGCCAGCAGCCGCGGUAAUACGUAGGUGGCAAGCGUUAUCCGGAAUUAUUGGGCGUAAAGCGCGCGCAGGUGGUUUCUUAAGUCUGAUGUGAAAGCCCACGGCUCAA